rnacentral:lncRNA from 1 species
GCCUGGGUGACAGGGUAAGAUGCUGUCUCAAACAAAAUAAAAAGGAAGGAAGGAAGGAAGGAGAGACAGAGCUGUUCAGUUCUCUUGCCCAAAGUCACAGGACAAGUGUAACAAACAGACUCAUCCCAGAUGUCAGAGUUAGGUGCUGAAGCCAGCAACAAGGAGAAACACCAAAUAGUGAAAUUUAUCCUGAGAAAAUAUGCCUCGCUGGAAAAAUGUAUUCUUUAAACCCAAACAGAGCCAAUUUUCCCACCAUUAUUAGAAUGGUCCGUAUUCCUUUAGUUGGACAACAAUAUGCGUAAGGGUCAUUUCAAAGGAAAAAUGUGAAUCUUUAAACCCUACAUCACACUCAAAUGUACUUUGAUGUUCAUUCUAGAGAAGAAUGUGAAAAAUCAGGAGUUGGCCAGGAGCAG